UUUGCAUUUCCCUCCAGUUUUGAUUGUCUGCCCUGUCCUGAUUAGUUUCACGUGUGGCUAGCUGGCCUUCCCUCAGUGAGUAUGUAGUCAGUGUGUUUCCUUCAUUUAGUUGUUAAACCGUUUUUGUCUUCAUCCACGUUGAGCGGUUCGGCCCUUUCCUUGUGUGAUUUGUGUUUUGGAUUUACAACCUUGGUUAUUGGAUUUUCUUGCCCGAUUGUUUGAUAUUGGAUUUUCUUUGUUUAUUAGACUAUCUACAUGACAGUUUUGGUUUUUCAUUAUUUGCCUGUUCCAUGGAUUCUAUGUAUUCCUGUUUAGACUGCUCCCCUGGUUUUGUCCACUGCCUGCCUUUAUCCCAUGUUUCAUCAUGUAUUGUAAACUGGACCGACACACAGGUUGGUUUUUAUACUGGAAAAGGCCCAAAAGAGUGUGUCCCUCCAGUCUGGCUCAAGGUCUCAGGCAGAGACAUGUGGACUUGAUUGAGGAUGGUGUUUGUGGGAGUAGCACUUCAGUCACCAGGGUGUACGACAUUCUUUGUGACACCUGCAUCACAUCAGUAGAACCUCUCCAAAGGAGGAGAAAGAUGAGGAUUGGUGGAAGAAAUGCUUUUGUUGUCAUCGUUGAGAGCAAAUUCUGCCACAAAAGAAAGUAGAAUCAUGGAAGAUUCAGCAGAACCUGGAGAAGAAACCGCUCAUGGGUAUUUGGAAUGCUGGAGGUGGCAGGGGAAUGUCGAAGGCUGGUACUGAAAUUGGUGAAGCGACGUUCCAGAAGGCGCCUGGAAAGUACUGUGGUGAAAUAUGUGAACCCUGGAAGUGAAGUAAUCAGUGACUGCUGGAGGACAUACCACAACGUGCAGCAGAGAGGCUACAUUCAUUUCUAGGUGAACCACCAGCAUUUCUUCUUCCAUUCACAAACUGGGGCGCACCUUGAGCAUGCGUUGUGUACAGACACAGGGGUAACCUAUAUCUAGAACAAACUCCCCGAAAACUGCAGGUCUACGGUAACUCUGUUCUUUUAAAUCAAGGCUGAAGACUUUAAUGUUUGCCCCUGCCUUUUAUUAAAUAAAAUAAUGUUUCAUUUCAUGCACUGUAACUUUUACUCGCCUGUUUUAUUGUGUUUUUGUUAAUAGUGUUUUUAAAUAUCUUUUAUAUUGCCCUACAUUGCUUUUAUGCUUUAUGUAAAGCACUUUGAAUUGCCUUGUUGUUGAAAUGUGCUAUACAGAUAAACUUGCCUUGCCUAACCUUUCAGAACACUCACUGAGGAGAACUCUGCGUUUUAUUGAGUGGAACUACUGGCUUGGAAAACAACAUUGACAUGGACCAAUUGGCCGCUUACUCAACAACAUUAGAAAAGGUGUACACGGUGUAAUGCAAACACAAUACAUCUUUGUAAAAAUAUUGCUGUUACUGUUUGCUGUGACAUGUGUUUAUAGCUUAAACAAUAUAUGUGCUGUUGUCUAUGUAAAACAUCUUUGUACCCUGGCUUUGAUGUUAAAAUGUUUGUCAGAAAUAAUAAGCAAUUUUAUUACCUUUUUUAACACUUACUCACUUUACUUAACACAGCAUUAAUUAUGAUAAGCUUGUCUGAAGCUUGUUAUUAGUGGCAACUCUAUUCAACACAUUUGUUCCAGGAAGAAAACAUGUAUGCUUUAACAUUAUUUCCCACUGUUUGUGUAAAGCCUGGGUCCCUUGAA